rnacentral:rRNA from 1 species
UGCGUAGGCGGGAUGAUCAGUCAGUGGUGAAAUCCUACAGCUUAACUGUAGAACUGCCAUUGAUACUGUCAUUCUUGAGUACAAAUGAAGUGGGCGGAAUGUGUCAUGUAGCGGUGAAAUGCAUAGAUAUGACACAGAACACCGAUUGCGAAGGCAGCUCACUAAACUGUAACUGACGCUGAGGCACGAAAGCGUGGGGAGCGAACAGGAUUAGAUACCCUGGUAGUCC